rnacentral:sRNA from 1 species
GCUGGGUUUGGUGGCACAUGCCUGUAAUCCCAGUGGCUUGGGAGGCUGAGGCAGGAGGGUUGCGAGUUCAGAGCUAGCCUUAGCAUCUUAGCGAGGCCCCAAGCAACUCAGCAAAACUCUGUUUCUA